rnacentral:misc_RNA from 1 species
GGAGAAUUCGUCAGCUCCAUCUUCAUUACAAAACCCUAGUUCAAGAUUCAAACUUUCCAUCUUUUCAAGAACCCAAUUUCUCAAAUUCCAAUAUGGUCGUCUUUUUCUCUUUAUUUUCGUAUUUUUCCUUAACUCCUCCGUUAUCGGUGGAGUCUCAUAUCCUCCUGAAUUUCCUCAGAUCCCAUACCCACAAUACUGUAACGAUGUUGUUCCCAGC